rnacentral:rRNA from 1 species
AUGGACAUCCUCAGAAGCUUUGGCGACGCAACUGGCCUGAAGAUCAACAACGCCAAAUCCACGGCGACUCCGAUUUGCUGCAGCAACGUCGACCUCAACAUAGUGCUUCAGUCGUUUGGAGGGCCGACUACGCAGUUCCCAAUUAGAUACUUAGGACUCCCUCUCACGAUUGGCCGUCUCCGACUCGUUCACCUUCAAUUCAUCCUUGAUUGAAUUAGGGCUAGGCUUGCAAGCUGGAAAGGGAAAAUGUUGUCCAUCGCCGGCCGCAGAGUUCUC